AAAGGGAACAGAAAAUAAUAAAAGAAAAUCAGAAUCUACCGCGUGGGCUCAUUUCCGCUUCCGACCCACCUCGUUCCCUUGUCCGCGCAGCCCAUUGGCCUCCGCACUAGGACCUGGCGUAUGGGCCCCUCCAACCAGUCACAAGUCCUCCUCGCGUGCACGCGUGGAUCACAAAGUGUGGCCCACCUAGCGGACUUUCUCUCUUGGUCGGGCGCUUGCAUGUGGGACCGGGUGGUCAGACUGUCGUCUCCACGAUAAGCGCGAAAGCUUCAACCGCAUCCCGGGCAGGUCGCCCUAGCCAGUAGCCGACCUCCCUCCAGUAUUUAGAUAGUGCGUACCCUACGACGCUCCUAAACCUUGAGUUCCACGAAUCCUCUGUGUCAUCACUGCCAGCGCCUGCGGUGAGAAAUCGGGGGGAGAGAGAGAGAGGAUAUCGCCGCCACACCGAGUUCUCGGACCGCCUUCGUCCGGACUGCCAGAGUGGUGUGAUUGGCAAGCGCGGUGGAGCGAGGGUCAUUUGCAAGACAUCCUCUAGGCAGGGGGGGUCAUCGGAGGUCCAUUCAAUUCGACACCGGUGUAUCCCGCACGACUGCCCCGCGCGGAUGGACGUGGUCAACCUACCUAGGCACCCAAUUAGCCGGUGAAGAGCAUGUGGUCGAAAAGGAGCCGCACAACGAGAAGUUCGACUUGAUCUAGGUGGCGUCUUCCGGUCAGCUCUGUGGCGCCAGAGAAAUAAUAUUUAGUUCGUUUUAUAUUUAUCAUUUAUUUUGUAAAACUUACGCUAUGUAACAAGUGAAUUUAUGAUAUUUAUGAUAUUUAUCUCUAUACGCUCUUU